UACAGAGGUCUCAAGCGUCGUUCGGAUUCAUUGGGCGUAAAGGGUGCGUAGGUGGCGUGGUAAGUCGGGUGUGAAAUUUCGGAGCUUAACUCCGAAACUGCAUUCGAUACUGCUGUGCUUGAGGACUGGAGAGGAGACUGGAAUUUACGGUGUAGCAGUGAAAUGCGUAGAGAUCGUAAGGAAGACCAGUGGCGAAGGCGGGUCUCUGGACAGUUCCUGACACUGAGGCACGAAGGCCAGGGGAGCAAACGGG
rnacentral:rRNA from 1 species